UACGAAGGGGGCUAGCGUUGUUCGGAUUUACUGGGCGUAAAGCGCACGUAGGCGGGUCGUUAAGUCAGGGGUGAAAUCCCGGAGCUCAACUCCGGAACUGCCUUUGAUACUGGCGACCUUGAGUCCGGGAGAGGUGAGUGGAACUGCGAGUGUAGAGGUGAAAUUCGUAGAUAUUCGCAAGAACACCAGUGGCGAAGGCGGCUCACUGGCCCGGUACUGACGCUGAGGUGCGAAAGCGUGGGGAGCAAACAGG
rnacentral:rRNA from 1 species